UGGACAACAUCACUGACAGGAUAUAGAAUACACUGACAGGAUAUAGAAUACACCUGGACAACAUCACUGCAGGAUAUAGAAUACACCUGGACAACAUCACUGACAGGAUAUAGAAUACACCUGGACAAUGUGUCUGACACAGAUUAAAUCAGGUGGACAAAAUUACUGACAGAGAUUCAAACCAGGUGGACAUCAAUCUGUCUGAUAUGGACAGGAGACAGCAGCACUGCUCUGAUGACCUGCAGAGAGGACAGGAGACAAACAGACAGAGAUUUAAACCAGGUGGACAUCAAUCUGUCUGAUAUGGACAGGAGACAGCAGCACUGCUCUGAUGACCUGCAGAGAGGACAGGAGACAAACAGACAGAGAUUUAAACCAGGUGGACAUCAAUCUGUCUGGUAUGGACAGGAGACAGCAGCACUGCUCUGAUGACCUGCAGAGAGGAGAGGAGACAAACAGACAGAGAUUUAAACCAGGUGGUCCUUCUGUAGCUCAGUUGGUAGAGCAUGGCGCUUGUAACGCCAGGGUAGUGGGUUCGAUCCCCGGGACCACCCAUACGUAGAAUGUAUGCACACAUGACUGUAAGUCGCUUUGGAUAAAAGCGUCUGCUAAAUGGCAUAUAUUAUUAUUAUUAUUAUUAUAUUAAUCUGUCUGGUAUGGACAGGAGACAGCAGCACUGCUCUGAUGACCUGCAGAGAGGACAGGAGACAAAACAGACAGAGGUACAGAAGACGUCACUUGAAUUACCUUCCACAACACAUGAAUAAUGACAUUUGUAAACCCAGUGAUCGUGGUGCCCUUUGUUUAAUGCAUGUCAACAAGACCCCGGGACAACACACUCCUUCUAAGGCUGAGAAACAGGUGUGUUUAAUGUGUGUCAACAUGACCCCGGGACAACACACUCCUUCUAAGGCUGAGAAACAGGUGUGUUUAAUGUGUGUCAACAUGACCCCGGGACAACACACUCCUUCUAAGGCUGAGAAACAGGUGUGUUUAAUGUGUGUCAACAUGACCCCGGGACAACACACUCCUUCUAAGGCUGAGAAACAGGUGUGUGGAAAUGUAUGAAAGAUAAUGACGACAAUACGAGGGGGGAAGGGGGGUUCUCUCUGUAUGUAGACAUUGAAUAAUGUUCUGUAUAGAUAUGACAUCAAUAAGACGAGGUUCUGUAUGUUCUGUAUAGAUAUGACAUCAAUAAGACGAGGCUCUGUAUGUUCUGUAUAGAUAUGACAUCAAUAAGACGAGGUUCUGUAUGUUCUGUAUAGAUAUGACAUCAAUAAGACGAGGUUCUGUAUGUUCUGUAUAGAUAUGACAUCAAUAAGAUGAGGUUCUGUAUGUUCUGUAUAGAUAUGACAUCAAUAAGACGAGGUUCUGUAUGUUCUGUAUAUAUAUGACAUCAAUAAGACAAGGUUCUGUAUAGAUAUGACAUCAAUAAGACAAGGUUCUGUAUGUUCUGUAUAGAUAUGACAUCAAUAAGACGAGGUUCUGUAUGUUCUGUAUAGAUAUGACAUCAAUAAGACGAGGUUCUGUAUGUUCUGUAUAGAUAUGACAUCAAUAAGACAAGGUUCUGUAUAGAUAUGACAUCAAUAAGACAAGGUUCUGUAUGUUCUGUAUAGAUAUGACAUCAAUAAGACGAGGUUCUGUAUGUUCUGUAUAGAUAUGACAUCAAUAAGACGAGGUUCUGUAUGUUCUGUAUAGAUAUGACAUCAAUAAGAUGAGGUUCUGUAUGUUCUGUAUAGAUAUGACAUCAAUAAGACGAGGUUCUGUAUGUUCUGUAUAGAUAUGACAUCAAUAAGACGAGGUUCUGUAGGUUCUGUAUAGAUAUGACAUCAAUAAGACGAGGUUCUGUAUGUUCUGUAUAGAUAUGACAUCAAUAAGACGAGGUUCUGUAUAGAUAUGACAUCAAUAAGACGAGGUUCUGUAUGUUCUGUAUAGAUAUGACAUCAAUAAGACGAGGUUCUGUAUGUUCUGUAUAGAUAUGACAUCAAUAAGACGAGGUUCUGUAUGUUCUGUAUAGAUAUGACAUCAAUAAGACGAGGUUCUGUAGGUUCUGUAUAGAUAUGACAUCAAUAAGACGAGGUUCUGUAGGUGGACAUCGAAUCAUAUCAUGUUCUAUACUAAAACAUAUUAUUGAAAACAUGUACAGCUGGUAAACCAGAAAUAAAGACAGACCAUAGUUUUAAUUCUGUGUCCACAAACUGUUCAAAAAAAUACCUAUCUGUUCUUCUCAGCUCUGUUGAGACUCUUGGAGUUAUUGCAUUGUUAAAUCUCUAUUUUUUUAAGGUAUGAUACAUAUAUAUAUGUUUUGUAUGAAAAGGGAUUGGUUUAAAACUGGAGAUUUUAUUUAAUAGAUUUAUAACAUUCAAUUAUGUUGUUUUUUAAAACAUUUUUUUUUAAUGUUGAUAAAAUGUUUUGCCUUGAUGAGAACAUGCCAGGCAGGUGGAGGGUGACGAAAACAAAAUGGCUUCCUUUCAAAACAAUCGUGUUCCGUGUUCACGUGCUGAUCGGAACUUGGAACUUUCCGACCUGCUGACCGCUUGUGGUUAUUAAACAUGUGCCGCGUUCAACCAGUUAGAAAGACUGAAUUUCAGAGUUUUCCGACUAGCAAGUGAACACGACAUUUAAACCCCCAUUUUCCGGUACAGGGAUAUGAUGUCAUCAGUAUGAAUCUGCUGCAGGUGUUUUGACGAAUGUUCAUAUGUUUAUUUUUUAUUUUUUUAAAUAAUUUAAAUGAUUGAUUGAUUGUUUUUUAUCAGAAUGUUGUAUCACUGUUAAUUGAUCACUGUUAAUUGAUCACUGUUAAUUGAUCACUGUUAAUUGAUUGAAGGCAUCUACCUCAG